GUCUCCGUGGCUUAGUCGGGUGAAAAGCCCGACUAUGGUAAGGUAGGAUUCGGGUUCGAGCCCCGGUGAAGGCA